GAUGAACGCUGGCGGCGUGCCUAAUACAUGCAAGUCGAGCGAACGGACGAGAAGCUUGCUUCUCUGAUGUUAGCGGCGGACGGGUGAGUAACACGUGGAUAACCUACCUAUAAGACUGGGAUAACUUCGGGAAACCGGAGCUAAUACCGGAUAAUAUUUUGAACCGCAUGGUUCAAAAGUGAAAGACGGUCUUGCUGUCACUUAUAGAUGGAUACGCGCUGCAUUAGCUAGUUGGUAAGGUAACGGCUUACCAAGGCAACGAUGCAUAGCCGACCUGAGAGGGUGAUCGGCCACACUGGAACUGAGACACGGUCCAGACUCCUACGGGAGGCAGCAGUAGGGAAUCUUCCGCAAUGGGCGAAAGCCUGACGGAGCAACGCCGCGUGAGUGAUGAAGGUCUUCGGAUCGUAAAACUCUGUUAUUAGGGAAGAACAUAUGUGUAAGUAACUGUGCACAUCUUGACGGUACCUAAUCAGAAAGCCACGGCUAACUACGU
rnacentral:rRNA from 1 species